GUCGUAUUGACAUGUGGGGUAAUUAGAACUGACUGUAUUUUAAUCUAGUUAUUAAGCCGUCUGGCCAAUUAUUCCUUCGCCAUUGUUUGUAUGUUAUUAAGGCUGAAUUUUUGUUUUCGUAUUUUAACAAUCAUAUUAAUAUGUUUUCUAAGAAAGUUGUAAAACCUCUUAAUUAUAUUAGCGUAAUCACCGUGUUCUAUGACUGGGAUUUGUUAGAAAAUGGACCACGGUAUGAAUAUUCUUUUGACGUUCCAGGAAUUUAUCUCUAUAAUUUUUACCAGUUAACCGAUUUUUCAAAAAUGAUGAAAACAAC
rnacentral:lncRNA from 1 species